CCAUUUUCAUCCUUACUCACUAUCUCUAACAAAACUGGAGACCCAUCUCUCCGACUUUUCCUCAAAACCCUAGCCCACUCCUCCUUCCUCUUCCGCUCUCUUUUCACGGCCACCACCACCUCCUUCUCCUCCGCUCACUCCCUCUACUAUCUCUCCAGCGGCAUCGCCUCAGCUGGCAAGCUCGCUCUCUCUCUCUCUCUAAAACCCUCUCCGUCUCUCUCUGGGAUUGACGAAGAUGAAGUCUAUGCCACACAACAAUUUCUCAUGGACACAAUGGAGCCUCCCCAGUCGCCAAACCUAGCCCCGGCAAGCCUCCAAGGAGAAAAGCGCCUGCACCUUCAGAUCUAACUAUACGGCCUUGGAUUCGAAGCCUUCGUCGGCAACUAAGUUGAAGAGUCUGUUGCCGCCACAGCCGCCGCCGUCAAAUCCUCUCAAACAGAAGCUUGGGAAAGACUGGGUAUUCACAUUUUUUCAACCUUUCAAGAGAGACAACUCUCAGGCCAAGCGGUCUAGCAUUUUCGAACUCUCGCGCCGCGCGGUGCUUUCUCAUUUUUGCUUGGCAUACUUGAUCAUAUUGCUUUGUCUGCUGGUAUUCGGGAUCAUUGCUGGUGCUAUUCACAUGCCUAUCCUGGCGUUUAACAUCAUCUAUGGUGUUCUUGUGGCUUUUGGAACUGGUAUUACCGUUGGACUUAUCUUGUCAUGCUGCUUUGUGGUGGGAGUUGUGCAGGGGGAGAACAUGAUUGCCAAGAAUGUGGCUCUUGGCAACCGUCCUGCUCAUUAAUUAGGUAAGCUUGUAAAUACUAAAUAGUAACAAGAUGUAGCAUGCAGUAGAACUUUGUUAUGGGAUCUGGAUGAUGUUUGGCUCAUCAUUGUUUUGUUGAGGGCACUCACUUCAUAGUCGCAAACCAUAACCUGACGGUGGUCGCAGCAGACGCAGCGUACACCGCGCCAAUCUCAACACCCUACAUCACAAUAUCUCCUGGACAAACCAUUGAUGCCCUGUCGUUCACAGACCAACAACCUGGUCGUUAUUACAUGGCUGCUAGGGCAUACCAAGGUAACCUAGCGAUUAGUUUUGACAACACCACAACCACAUCAAUAGUUGAAUACAAAGAUGGCAAUGGAAAUGGUAAAACUGCUCCAUUAUCAAUAAUUGAAUACAAAGAUGGCAGUGGAAAUGGUAAA